rnacentral:misc_RNA from 1 species
GAAAUGCGAUAAGUAAUGUGAAUUGCAGAAUUCAGUGAAUCAUCGAAUCUUUGAACGCACCUUGCGCUCCUUGGUAUUCCUUGGAGCAUGCCUGUUUGAGUAUCAUGAAAUCUUCAAAGUAAAUCUUUUGUUAACUCAAUUGGUUUCUACUUUGGUAUUGGAGGUCUUUGCAGCUUCACACCUGCUCCUCUUUGUUCAUUAGCUGGAUCUCAGUGUUAUGCUUGGUUCCACUCGGCGUGAUAAGUUAUCUAUCGCUGAGGACACUGUAAAAGGUGGCCAAGGUAAAUGCAGAUGUACCGCUUCUAAUAGUCCAUUGACUUGGACAAUACUUUUAUGAUCUGAUCUCAAAUCAGGUAGGACUACCCGCUGAACUUAAGC